rnacentral:lncRNA from 1 species
UUGAAACAAUGUUGUUUGUUUGGGGGACAUCCAGAAAUUUCAGUUUUAAAUAAUGAUAUAUUAGCUGCAGGUGUAACAGUACCUAUGCAUUUAUUGCUUCACAGUCUAGCAGUGUUUGUGAGAAAAACUGGUGGAUCCUGCAGAUUAACCAUGGACAGCCAAAUAUUGAGUAAAGUGAUGUCUACAACAGCAUCAGCUAUGCCUGAUAUGGUGUUAAUUCACAUUGUGAAGGUUGUUAUGUACCCAAUUGUGACUAAACCAAAAGAAACAAAUCUGGAAACUGAAGUACCAAUACGUGAAAAGCGUUCUUCUGGUAUUGGGAGUGCCAGCAUGCAGCCAUCUUCAAGAGGUGAGAAUUUCACUUAGCGGCUUAAACAGAAGUGUUAUCUCAAGAUAAUAUAAUAUCUGGAGGCAUGUGGCUGCUACUGUUUGGUGAGUAAUUCAGAGUAAAAG